CCCAUUGGUCAGUGUGGGUCAUGUGACUCAGGGGCCCUCUGGCCGGCCCUCGGCCCCGUGCUGAACAAACAGAGGAGGGCCCUCAGACGGAGAAUAACACAACAAUGGCCGUCUGUCAGGAAGGUGCUGACUGUCAACACACGGUCUGCCGGGGCCGGUACGGCUCAUGUGCCAAUACCUCCUGCAGGCUGACAACAGCCCGCUUCCGGAGCAUUCUUCUGUCUCAAUGGAAGCUGCAUUUCAUAACAUUUCUAAAUUAUUCGACAGCAAGACCCAAAAAGAGAAAUUAAAUUCUGCUCGGAAAUCGGAUUAAGAGGACUGCUGGGACACCCAAUCAGACUGAGCACAGGGGCUGUGGAGCCUGGGGUAUCAGGGAUUGGCUGUUCAUCACUGCCCCACUUCCUCCCUUCAUAUUUACCCUUCUCUCCUCUAUCUCUGGACGACACGCAGCCUGUUUAUCACCGUACCUUUCCCCUACAGAGAGGCCAUCUAUGCUACACUGGAAAAUAUCCCACAGCGGGUGUGUGUGUGUGUGUGUGUGUGUGUGUGUGUGUGUGUGUGUGUGUGUGUGUGUGUGUGUGUGUGUGUGUGUGUGUGUGUGUGUGUGUGUGUGUGUGUGUGUGUGUGUGUGUGUCUUUAGAGACCCCAGGGCAUGCCCAGUAGCAAUAGUAGCAAAAACACGCACACAAACCAUCCAUGUGUGUACAUGCACACUGACAAUAUCCUGGGGGAAUGAACCUCUCCCCAACAGCCCAACACGUAGAACCCAGAGCCCGAAGAAAGGAUGAGGAGUAGGAGUAGGAGUAGGAGUAGGAGUAGGAGUAGGAGCAGUUGCAGUAGUAGUAAUAGUAGUAUGAGCAGUUGUAGAAGCAGUAGUAGUCGUAGUCGUAGUAGGAGCAGUAGUAGUAGGAACAGUAGUUGGAGAUGGAGUUGUGAUACAUUGGUAUUGUGUAUCGUAAUUGGUUUGGGUUAUUUGGCACAGAAAGUUACUUUCUCUUUCUCUCGUUACUAAAAUGUAACUUUUAAUGCAGUUUGCUUAUUCAACUCAUUUUAUGAAGUUAGCCUUUUUGCAUUUUCUGGGUUGUGUCUUCAUGGUUGAAUGCACUUGAGUCACUAUGGAUUAAUGCGUCCCCUUAAUAAAUACGAGAGUAUGUCAAUAAAGGGUAA